AUUGAACGCUGGCGGCAGGCCUAACACAUGCAAGUCGAACGGAUGAAGGGAGCUUGCUCCUGGAUUCAGCGGCGGACGGGUGAGUAAUGCCUAGGAAUCUGCCUGGUAGUGGGGGAUAACGUCCGGAAACGGGUGCUAGUACCGCAUACGUCCUGAGGGAGAAAGUGGGGGAUCUUCGGACCUCACGCUAUCAGAUGAGCCUAGGUCGGAUUAGCUAGUUGGUGGGGUAAAGGCCUACCAAGGCGACGAUCCGUAACUGGUCUGAGAGGAUGAUCAGUCACACUGGAACUGAGACACGGUCCAGACUCCUACGGGAGGCAGCAGUGGGGAAUAUUGGACAAUGGGCGAAAGCCUGAUCCAGCCAUGCCGCGUGUGUGAAGAAGGUCUUCGGAUUGUAAAGCACUUUAAGUUGGGAGGAAGGGCAGUAAGUUAAUACCUUGCUGUUUUGACGUUACCAACAGAAUAAGCACCGGCUAACUUCGUG
rnacentral:rRNA from 1 species